AUAGUGAGAAUGAUUUUCUUCUACAGCUUGGCCAAACUCAGAAAUUCCCACUUGGCUGCAGGAAUUUACAAUCUCUUUAAAGAGCACUAAAAUGCAUAUACCCUUUGACCCAGUAAUUCUACCAGAAGGAAUUUAUCCUAAAAUUAUGGUCACACAUUUAUAAAGUAACCUGAUUAAUGUAAAAUUGUUUGUAGUAGCUGAGGAAAGUUCCCUUUAAUGAAAUUCUGUUUUCUCUUUUUCAUAUGAUUCCAAAGCAAUGGCUAAUAAUGGUUGCUUUGGAAAGGAAAGUGCAGUAUUAAAUGUUUUUUGAGUUGUCCUAGAAACAGAUGCUGAGGCGGAGAGAAUGAGAAGUUAUCUUGGGGGCAACAUUAUAAGGGAGUGAGGGAAAUAGAAUAGGGCAAAGGCAGAAAUAGUAGACUAGUCGCAAAAAUAACAAAGCCUUCUCCUGAUCCCACAAGAAGCUCUGGAACUGAGAUAACCCUACUUGACGACCUGUAUCUUUAGAGCCCUCAUCUCAAUCAGCCACUAGAAGCAGGUUUCCUUCAGGAGCAGCAUAACACAGGUGGAGUUUCCUGAAGGAUUCUGGGGAAGACACGUGCAGAAAUGGAAACUGUUAGGUAACCUGAAGAUUAAUGUGGCGGACAUGUGUAUACUAAUGCAAAACUCAUUUCCAGAAACAGAGAAGGCAGAAAGGAAAAGAUGCUUGCUAUAGUAUAAAACAUACUGGAUGCAGAGCAGAUACAAACUAGGAGGUACGAGGAAGCAGUCUAAUUGAACCUAUUCAUAUUAAGAGCAGGCCUACACUGAGAAUGUCCUUCAGAGUGUGAAAUUGCCCCAUGGUGUUGUCGAACAAGUCAAGAAUAUUUUAUGGAUGUGGUCAUCUAUCCUGACUGUUCGCUUGCUCUGAUAGACUCUGCUCAGUUCGGAAAAAAUCAUCAUUAUUAUUUUAUGAGAUUGUAUUUGAUCAAAUGGAUUUAAAAGCACAUCAUGUUCUUCACUCUUGAUUGCUGCCAUAGCUUAUCUAGAAGCAAAUACAUGUACUAGUUAUUACAAAUAAUUAAAGAUUAUAAAAGUAACACAUGUUCAUUAUGGAUAAUUUGAACAAUACAACAAAGGGUAAAGAAUAAAUUGGAAACACAUUUAAUCUGACUGCUCAGAGGUAACCAAUUUUAAUAUUUCUUUGGACGUCUUUCCAAAUAUGUAUGCAUAUGAAAUUUUUAAAAAAUUGAGUCAAUGCUGUACAUAUACUUUUUUUUUUUAAAUUUAGCCUUUCUACCCCUAAGAUUAGGACUUACUGAGCUGAUGCACAAGAAAAACAGGAACCGAUGAAAUCUUUUAAGCUUUUAAGAGAAAGAAUAAGUUGAUUUAUUAAAAAUACAUGCA